UAGAUUUUCCCAUAUUUUGUCCUUUUACCUUUAUAAUCUAUUAAACAAAGCCCUCCAUUGAAUUCAACACCUUACCAAAGCAGGUCAAAGCUCUCUUCCCAAUCUUUUUGUAUAACAGAGAGAGGGAGAGAGAGAAGAGAACAGAGUAUUUGUAAAUUUGGAUAAGUACACACAAAUAUUUGGUUUGACACAACAGAGACCAUCAUGCUCAUGCAUGAAUCUAUAUAUCUUAUGUUUUAGUCUAACAAAGAUUUUCAUAAUUUCAAAACCCCAAAAACCAUUCUUUAUAAAUUACCCAUUAAAAUAAUAAAAUCUUACGGAGUUAAAACAAAACCUCCUUCUGCAUAGUUCAUUCCUGACGGCUAAAAAUCAUCUUCCCAGAAAUUUCCCUCACCAUAUACGACAAUUUCAACCUUCAAACAUGGCUGACUUGAUUUCUAGUAUAUUCAAUUUGGAUAUAAAUACAACAGAUUUACAUUACCUCGUUAGCCGUUCUCCAAAUUUGAAAUAUAAACUUCUUUUUUCUUCUGCUGUAGUAGUAGUGCUCUGUUUCACAGUGUUAAUAAAUUAGAACUAAAAAGGAAAAGAAAAGAAAACGAAAAAGAAGAAGAAAAAUGGAAGGAAAGAGAACUGGAAAUGAAGGAAAGAGAUCGACAAAUGAAAGUCGUUACCGAGGGAUAAGGCGACGGCCAUGGGGGAAAUUCGCGGCGGAGAUUCGAGAUCCAUCGAGGAAUGGUGCUCGGUUGUGGUUAGGGACGUUUGAUACGGCGGAAGAAGCAGCGAGGGCGUACGAUCAAGCGGCGUAUGCGUUCAGAGGGCA
rnacentral:lncRNA from 1 species